GUCUCUGUAGCCUAGUGGUAAGGCAUUUGCCUCUUAAGCAAGCGGUCGUCAGUUCGAAUCUGGCCAGGGACA